GAUGAACGCUGGCGGCGUGCCUAAUACAUGCAAGUCGAGCGAACAGACGAGGAGCUUGCGCCUCUGACGUUAGCGGCGGACGGGUGAGUAACACGUGUAUAACCUACCUAUAAGACGGGGAUAACUUCGGGAAACCGGAGCUAAUACCGGAUAACAUGUUGAACCGUAUGGUUCAACAGUGAAAGACGGUCUUGCUGUCACUUAUCGAGGGAUCCCGGCCGCAUUAGCUAGUUGGUAAGGUAACGGCUUAUCACGGCAAGGAUGCGUAGCCGACCGGAGAGGGUGAUCGGCCACACGAGAACUGGACCGCGCACAAGGCUCCUGAGAGAGGCAGCAGUAGGGAACGGUCCGCAGUAGGCGAGAACAUGGCGGAGCAGCGCGACGUGAGUGGAGGAGGUGCUGGGUGCGUAAAGAUCUGUUAUGAGGGGAGAACAAAUGUGUAAGUAACUAUGGACGGAGUGACGGUAACUGGUCAAGAAGCCACGGCUAACUACGUG
rnacentral:rRNA from 1 species